rnacentral:lncRNA from 1 species
AAAACAGUAAACUUAAGACGGAAAGAUAUCAAAACAAAAGUUUCCUUCGCCUCAUCAGUAAUUCCCAUCAAGCUCUCUUCUGUAGAACAUCAAACUUGCGACCAUAACUGCGACCUGUUCCCUAGAAUCCAGGUCGCUUGAUAGUCGGCUAGUUAUUAACUCCCGUGUAUUAAUGUGAUAACCGGAGACAGAUUUCUUGUCCGGCUCCUGCCUCUCAAAGAACAAUUUAGACUUAUCAGCACACAUAAUAAAUGUCAUUGGCUCUUUAUUAUCCGGUUUCAAGAAUGUC